UCAAUUAUUUANUAGCCUCUGGCUAUAGGAAAUUGUUAGUGGCAGACGGGUGAGUAAUGCGUAGGAAUCUACCUAGUAGUACGGAACAGCCAUUAGAAAUGGUGGGUAAUACUGUAUAAUCCCCGAGGGGGAAAGAUUUAUCGCUAUUAGAUGAGCCUACGUUAGAUUAGCUAGUUGGUGAGGUAAUGGCUUACCAAGGCUAUGAUCUAUAGCUGGUCUGAGAGGACGAUCAGCCACACUGGAACUGAGAUACGGUCCAGACUCCUACGGGAGGCAGCAGUGGGGAAUAUUGGACAAUGGGCGAAAGCCUGAUCCAGCUAUGCCGCGUGAGUGAAGAAGGCCUUCGGGUUGUAAAACUCUUUCAAUAGGGAAGAUAAUGACGGUACCUAUAA
rnacentral:rRNA from 1 species